rnacentral:rRNA from 1 species
UACGGAAGGGGCAAGCGUUGUUCGGAAUCAUUGGGCGUAAAGAGCUCGUAGGCGGUUUGUCGCGUCUGCCGUGAAAGUCCGGGGCUCAACUCCGGAUCUGCGGUGGGUACGGGCAGACUAGAGUGAUGUAGGGGGAGACUGGAAUUCCUGGUGUAGCGGUGAAAUGCGCAGAUAUCAGGAGGAACACCGAUGGCGAAGGCAGGUCUCUGGGCAUUAACUGACGCUGAGGAGCGAAAGCAUGGGGAGCGAACAGG